rnacentral:rRNA from 1 species
UAUCUCUGUAGAGUCUGCAUAUCAAUAAGCGGAGGAAAAGAAACUAACAAGGAUUCCCCUAGUAACGGCGAGUGAAGCGGGAAGAGCUCAAAUUUGAAAUCUUCAAGGUUUGACCUUGACGAAUUGUAGUUUAAAGAAGUGUUUUCGGUUAGAGGAGUAGUGAAAGUUCUUUGGAAUAGGACAUCAUAGAGGGUGAGAAUCCCGUAUUUGACUAUUCUUUCUAGCUUCGUGAUACACUUUCAAAGAGUCGGAUUGUUUGGGAAUGCAGUCCAAAAUGGGUGGUAAAUUUCAUCUAAAGCUAAAUAUUGGCGAGAGACCGAUAGCGAACAAGUACCGUGAGGGAAAGAUGAAAAGAACUUUGAAAAGAGAGUUAAACAGUACGUGAAAUUGUCAAAAGGGAAGCGUUUGACACCAGUGUUGUUUUUCCGAAAGUCAAUUAAAAAUUGAUUCAUGCCAGGUUGUAUUGACCUUAUCAGCUUGCAAUCUGGUUUUGGGUCUCUUUUUGAUGCACUUUUCGGUUAACAAGUCAACAUCAAUUUCCUUUGCUGUAAAAAGGUAAGAGGAAGGUGGCUUCAAUUUCGGUUGAAGUGUUUAUAGCCUUUUAUCUCUGCAGUCGGGGAGAUUGAGGUCUGCAGCGUAGAUCCUUCGGGGCUAGAUACAUUUAUGCUAAGCUAUAGCUUUUCAUAGACAACUUGUUGAAUAUGUUUGGUCAUGUAGCUUACUCGUAAGUGCUAUUUUACCUACGCUUAGGAUGUUGAAGACUCUACAGAGAUA